UGAGGAAUAUUGGUCAAUGGAGGCAACUCUGAACCAGCCAUGCCGCGUGAAGGAUGACGGCCCUAUGGGUUGUAAACUUCUUUUAUAGAGGAAGAAACUUGUCUACGUGUAGACAACUGACGGUACUCUACGAAUAAGGAUCGGCUAACUCCGUGCCAGCAGCCGCGGUAAUACGGAGGAUCCAAGCGUUAUCCGGAUUCAUUGGGUUUAAAGGGUCCGUAGGCGGGUCUUUAAGUCAGUGGUGAAAGCCGACAGCUCAACUGUCGAACUGCCAUUGAUACUGGAGACCUUGAGUACAAAUGAAGUAGGCGGAAUGAGUCAUGUAGCGGUGAAAUGCAUAGAUAUGACUCAGAACACCGAUUGCGAAGGCAGCUUACUAACAUGUAACUGACGCUGAGGGACGAAAGCGUGGGGAGCGAACAGGAUUAGAUACCCUGGUAGUCCACGCCGUAAACGAUCAUCACUCGCUGUUGGCGAUAUACUGUCAGCGGCCAAGCGAAAGUAUUAAGUGAUGCACCUGGGGAGUACGCCGGCAACGGUG
rnacentral:rRNA from 1 species